CGUGGAGUCGUCACACCACAAUAACCACCACAACCACAAGCAUCACCGCGUCCGCCACCACCACGACCACCAAAAUUACCACCUCGAGGACGACCCCCUCGAGGACGACCCCCUCGAGGACGACCCCCUCAAGUACGACUCAGCCUGGGAAGAAUGGUCGAGUCAGGUCAGGGGCAAGAGGCAGUACGACCCGACCGAGAACGAGGUCGAGCAAGGGCCUUGGGGUCACUGGGGGUCACCCGGGCCCUGUUCGAGGUCAUGUGGGGGCGGGGUCAAGGUCAGCUUGAGGGAGUGUCGAGCGCCCAGCCCUGCGGACUGUACCGGACGCUCGAAAAAAUACGAAUCUUGCAACGUUGACCCCUGCCCAGGGGGUCCGUUCGACUACAGGGCCGAGCAGUGCGCGAAGUUCAACAGCGUCUUGUUUGAGGGGAAGUACCAUCGGUGAGUUGUUUCUGGUUGGUUGUGGUUGUUUGGGGGUGUUUGUGUGUGUGGUUGU
rnacentral:lncRNA from 1 species